CACGUGCCUCGGCCGUGAGGAGGAGGAGGGAUGCAAGCUUCGCUCCUCUACCCUGGUGCCCAGCAGGCGUACACCACCACAUGCCUACUAGGAAGCCACGGGGAGGAGGACCUAGUGCCGAACCCACAGCCCUGGCCUCCGUGGACAUGCCUCCCCCCUACCCCAGCAGGGAACAGAUGACCCCUAGAGAGCGCCCCACUGUCUACCCCGAGGUCCAAGCUUGCAGAGGCCACUCUGAAGUUGGCUGUCCAUCGGCCUCUUAACUGGGCUGUUUUUCGUCCAACUUCUCUACUGCACUUAAGAUGAUUUGCCAAAAACCCCUCCACCACCAUAUUAGCUGGAACAUUUGGGGUUGAAGUGACAGAACUCCCAAACAAAUAGGUUUGAGCUGUACCCCGUCUCUACCAAAAAAAAAAAAAAA
rnacentral:lncRNA from 1 species